rnacentral:rRNA from 1 species
AUUGAACGCUGGUGGCAUGCUUAACACAUGCAAGUCGAACGGUAACAGGCUGGUGCUUGCACUGGUGCUGACGAGUGGCGGACGGGUGAGUAAAGCAUAGGAAUCUGCCUUAAGGCGGGGGAUAACUCAGGGAAACUUGAGCUAAUACCGCGUAAUACCUAUGGGUUAAAGGUUGCUUCGGCAAUUGCCUUAAGAUGAGCCUAUGUCUGAUUAGCUAGUUGGUGGGGUAAAGGCCUACCAAGGCGACGAUCGGUAGCUGUUCUGAGAGGAUGAUCAGCCACACUGGGACUGAGACACGGCCCAG